rnacentral:rRNA from 1 species
CACGUAGGCAGCGAGCGUUGUUCGGAGUUACUGGGCGUAAAGGGUGCGUAGGCGGUUGUUUAAGGUUGGUGUGAAAUCUCCCGGCUCAACUGGGAGGGUGCGCCGAAUACUGAAUGACUAGAGUGCGGGAGAGGAUAGUGGAAUUCCUGGUGUAGCGGUGAGAUGCGUAGAUAUCAGGAGGAACACCGGUGGUGUAGACGGCUAUCUGGACCGUAACUGACGCUGAGGCACGAAAGCGUGGGUAGCAAACAGG